UGGUGGAUUCGUAUAGAGGUAAUACAAUCGGCUGAUAACCGAUAAACGGAAGUUCGAUUCUUCCAUCCACCAUCUA
rnacentral:tRNA from 3 species